GCAGGGAUACCCAAGCGGUCAACGGGGCAAGGCUUAAGACCUUGUGGCUCAGUGCCUUCGAGGGUUCGAAUCCCUCUCCCUGCA
rnacentral:tRNA from 1 species